rnacentral:rRNA from 1 species
UACGUAGGGGGCUAGCGUUGUCCGGAUUUAUUGGGCGUAAAGAGCGUGUAGGCGGCCAGGUAGGUCUGCUGUGAAAGUCCAGGGCUCAACCCUGGAAGGCCGGUGGAAACUGUCGGGCUAGAGUCCGGAAGAGGCGAGUGGAAUUCCCGGUGUAGCGGUGAAAUGCGCAGAUAUCGGGAGGAACACCGGUGGCGAAGGCGGUUCUCUGGGCCUGUUCUGACGCUGAGGAGCGAAAGCGUGGGGAGCAAACAGG